UUCACUUCCGCUGCACGAGUUUUCCGUGCGCGUUUAUUCCAGACCCGAUGGAUGGAAGCAGACGUCACAAAUAUAUUCAACAAUUGAACCGGCGAAGGUCCAUUUAAUUCAAUUUAAGAAGUGGUUUCCUGGCCCAGCAUAGUGAUGUCCGACGUAGGCAGCAAACAGUCCUGGGUUGAUUCCCACCUGGUGAGAACAAAUUCUGUGUACAAGAGGAAACAAGCAAUCAGAAAAGCCCUAGAGCUCGAGGAAGCCUCGUCCUAG